rnacentral:lncRNA from 1 species
CGAGGACGUGGGAGACGGCGGCGCAGGAGCGAGGACCUGGAGGCGAAGAUGCCGGCGCGAGGUCUAGGAGGCGAAGCCCCGGCUGGUCUUGACGUAGUGGCCGCUGCCCCACAUACGUCUCCGCCGACGCCUCCGUGAGGUUCUGGAGGGGACGCCGCCGCCGCGAGGCAUUGGAGAUCCCGGCUGCGCUCGGUCGUAAUGGUGGAUGAACAGAGGUAUCUCUUCCCCUGCCCUCAUCUCUUCCUCCCAUCCAUCCCUCCUCACACCUUGUGCUGGCGGUGUAAGCAUGGAGCAACUGCACAUUGCAGCACCUUGAAAUAAAAUUCAGUCAGCAGUGCAUUCGCUAGUUUGCGCAACUUCCGCAGUCACUAAUUGCAUGAUUAGCGAUUGACCGCGUCUGGCACUUGAGCUGUCCUCGAUGGCUGCAAUGAAGCUGUUGCUGCUGACUGUUAGCACGCUGCUGCUGCUGCUACGUAUUUGACAUGCACGAAUCAUCAACACAAAACUCUCCAGGAAAAAGGGAUAUGAUAUGAUUUUUUUUCUUCAGAAAAGAACAUCAUUUGGUUUGUCACACAAACCCACAAGUAGAAAUUGCAGCCUUAAAGUUUCCAGAAUCAACUGUUAACUGUGUAUGCUUAUGGUCAUACUCCUGUAUCAUACACAUACACAAGUUCAGGCCAUAUAUGUAUGAAGUUCUGUUAACUGUCUAGCCUUUAUUUAGUAAUGAAAUCUUGAAUUUUGGAUUACUUGUAACAGCAUGUUCAAACAAUUGAAAUCUUGCUGCAGCAUACACAUACAAGUUCAGGUCAUGUAAACUAUGGCUUGGAACAACUUAACUAGUGCUAAUAACAGUUUCAUACUUCAGUUGCAUGUGUUUGUUUUGAAGUUCAGAACAGACACAGAUUCAGAGUUCACAAAUGUCUUACAACUUGUAGCAUUCCCCAGUGGCAGUUGUUGUUUAUAAACUACAGAGAACACUGAUAAUAAAUCCCACUAAGCAUAUCAAAAGUCAGAUAUAUGAUAAACUAUAGAGAUUCUGCAAUUUCUGAAGAGUUGUUAAAUAUUACUUGCUAUGAUAACGUUCUCAGACUAUUCAUAAUCCUCGAUUGUUAUUAGAGUUCGUGUAUUCCCUACGACAGCGAAAACGGCGUCAAUUAAGGCAGCCACCGAUUCGAACAGUGAGCAUCAGGUACUCUAUUUCAGCAGUCUAUUUUAUCAGAUGUAGUUUAAACUCGUUGUGUUUAGUCUAGCAGAUCAUUUUUCCGUGGAGUCUACUAGAUUUAGUAUUGACCUUUUGUUCUAUCUUUGUAUACAUGGCAGUAGUCAUCAAGGAAAUUUUAGACAAUUGUACAACCCGACAGAGGAAAGGAUUUCAUAAUACUGAUUUUAUCAUUUCCUUUGCACUCGCUCUUAUUCGACCAUGCUUUCCUGCACAUCACAUAAAAUUAAGUGUACUUAGGAUUGAUUUAGUGCAGUUGCAAUAGUUUUGCUCCUGGUAUAUCAUGCAGUAGCCAGCUCUAUUUUUCUUUCUAUUCAAUGCAAUUGAUGACUUUGUUUAGUUCGUCAUUAGGGCACUAUAAUCAAUGUUUAGUAGCAAUAAAAUUUAGUGAUUGUCCCAUGUAAACUUGAUUUUGUGGCUGCAGGUUUAUUGUCUGUCUUGGGUGGUCAUUGUAGCAGUAGUGUUUGUACUGGACAACCUUCAGCCACCGUUGUUUACUUCCAACUCGCCGGCCAGCCACCAAGGUCUACCUCCUGUCUCGUUGGAUCGCCGGAUAGCCGCUGUCGUUUACCUCGCGCCUUGCCGGACAGCACGGUCAUCAAACUCUUUCUCACCGGGCAGCCACCGCCGUCUACCUCUGCCUCAUAGUUAAUUGUGUGCUAGCAAUUCCUCCGGAGAAUUUGUUAGGUUAUUCUAACUCUACCAUGUAUCCAUGAUCCUGUUUUCUGAAUAUGUAAUAUUUUUAGUGAUUUUCAUUUUCAUUUUAUUUUCCAUGGCGCUUCCAUGAUUAAUUUCAUUUUCUGGUAUAUAUUUUCAAAGAUUUUUAUUUGCUUUUCCCUAAUGGCCAUGGUGUGAGAGCAGACUACUAGCGGGUUGGGCGUUGCACUGAAGAAGUUUAUGCCAAAAAGAACUAAAACUAGACGCAAAUUAAAAUUCAGGAGCAUUUUCGGUCAAAAAUUGUUGAAAAAAAAAGUUCCCAUAAAAGUUCUCAAAAAUUCACACUACCCUCUAUUCAAUCUGGGAAAGUUUUAGAAGUUUUGGCGAAUAAAAAGAGACAAAAGAAAAUUUCAAAUUCAGGACCAUUUUGGCUCAAAAUUUGCCAGAAAACAAGAUUUCUGAUUUGAAGAAGUUUUCUCGAACAUGAAAA